CAGAGAGCUUGCUUCUGAAGAGUUAGCGGCGGACGGGUGAGUAACACGUGGGCAACCUGCCUGUAAGACUGGGAUAACUUCGGGAAACCGGAGCUAAUACCGGAUAAUCCACUCCCUCACAUGAGGGAGUGCUGAAAGACGGUUUCGGCUGUCACUUACAGAUGGGCCCGCGGCGCAUUAGCUAGUUGGUGAGGUAACGGCUCACCAAGGCGACGAUGCGUAGCCGACCUGAGAGGGUGAUCGGCCACACUGGGACUGAGACACGGCCCAGACUCCUACGGGAGGCAGCAGUAGGGAAUCUUCCGCAAUGGACGAAAGUCUGACGGAGCAACGCCGCGUGAGCGAAGAAGGCCUUCGGGUCGUAAAGCUCUGUUGUCAGGGAAGAACAAGUACCGGAGUAACUGCCGGUACCUUGACGGUACCUGACCAGAAAGCCACGGCUAACUACGUGCCAGCAGCCGCGGUAAUACGUAGGUGGCAAGCGUUGUCCGGAAUUAUUGGGCGUAAAGCGCGCGCAGGCGGUUCCUUAAGUCUGAUGUGAAAGCCCACGGCUCAACCGUGGAGGGUCAUUGGAAACUGGGGAACUUGAGUGCAGAAGAGAAGAGCGGAAUUCCACGUGUAGCGGUGAAAUGCGUAGAGAUGUGGAGGAACACCAGUGGCGAAGGCGGCUCUUUGGUCUGUAACUGACGCUGAGGCGCGAAAGCGUGGGGAGCGAACAGGAUUAGAUACCCUGGUAGUCCAC
rnacentral:rRNA from 1 species